AUUUUGAAGAUGUUUUAAAAGAAAAAUGAUCUGAUUUUGACUCUUAUUAUGGGCAGCGGUUUCUAUUGUUUUGCCAAUCACAUCCGUGUAUCCCUGGACUGCACCCGCAGCAAUGACUUGGCAUGUCUUGAUUGGCAUUUGCAAAAAUCAGUCACCGUCUCUGACCGAAAGGGAAACCAUUAAGCUUCAUGUGUGAAUGGCAUAGGAUACCGGAGAAAGC
rnacentral:lncRNA from 1 species